UGGGGAAUAUUGGACAAUGGGGGGAACCCUGACCCAGCCAUGCCGCGUGUGUGAAGAAGGCCUUAUGGUUGUAAAGCACUUUAAGCGAGGAGGAGGGUACUGGUAUUAAUACUACCAGGUACUGGACGUUACUCGCAGAAUAAGCACCGGCUAACUCUGUGCCAGCAGCCGCGGUAAUACAGAGGGUGCGAGCGUUAAUCGGAUUUACUGGGCGUAAAGCGUGCGUAGGCGGCUAAUUGAGUCGGAUGUGAAAUCCCCGAGCUUAACUUGGGAAUUGCAUUCGAUACUGGUUAGCUAGAGUGUGGGAGAGGAUGGUAGAAUUCCAGGUGUAGCGGUGAAAUGCGUAGAGAUCUGGAGGAAUACCGAUGGCGAAGGCAGCCAUCUGGCCUAACACUGACGCUGAGGUACGAAAGCAUGGGGAGCAAACAGG
rnacentral:rRNA from 1 species